rnacentral:lncRNA from 1 species
CACCGAGUUGGCAAACGAGUUCGCCGUCAUGGACCGGUGGUUCGCGUCGGUUCCCGCUUCGACUCAGCCGAACCGGUUCUACGUUCACUCCGCCACCUCGCACGGCGCCUCCAGCAACGUGAGGAAAGACCUGAUCAACGGGUUCCCACAGAAGACGAUCUUCGACUCAAUUGACGAAAACGACCUCAGUUUCGGGAUAUAUUACCAGAAUAUCCCCGCCACUCUGUUCUUCAAGAGCCUCAGGAAGCUGAAGCACAUCAUCAAGUUCCACGACUACGCGCUGAAGUUCAAACUCCACGCGAAAACGGGGAAGCUGCCGAACUAUGUCGUGAUCGAGCAGAGGUACUUCGACGUGGAGGUGUGCCCGGCGAACGACGAUCAUCCCUCGCACGACGUGGCGCACGGGCAGAAGUUUGUGAAGGAGGUUUACGAGACGCUUAGGGCGAGCCCGCAAUGGGAAGAGAUGGCUCUUUUGAUUACUUAUGACGAACACGGUGGAUUUUACGAUCACGUCCCUACACCUGUUUCCGGUGUGCCGAAUCCGGAUGGGAUAAUCGGGCCUGACCCGUUUAUUUCAAGCACGUCGGCUUGGUGUUCGGUCNNNNNNNNNNNNNNNNNNNNNNNNNNNNNNNNNNNNNNNNNNNNNNNNNNNNNNNNNNNNNNNNNNNNNNNNNNNNNNNNNNNNNNNNNNNNNNNNNNNNAGCACAUAGCUACAACUUUUUCGAUAGCAAUGAUACGUGUCUUAGUAGUUGCCAUGACCUAUAGAUCCUCGUAAAUCUCCAAUUGAUAUUAGCAUCAUCGUCAUACACAUGAGCAUUUAUAUGAUUCCAAAAAUUAUACUCCCUCUGUUCCACAAUAACUGUUUAAAAUAUUUUUGUUCCAUAUUAUUUGUCACUUUAGAUUUCCAAUACCUCAUUAAAUGCAUUUUUCCUGUUUUAAUCUUAUUAAUUCAACUAUAAAUAUUAACUCUCUCUUAUCACAUUAUUAAAUACUCAAGGUUAUUUUAGUCUUUCUAAUAUAUUUUACCUAAAAUCAAGACACAUUUAUUGAGCUUCUUAAUCCUUGUGCAAAACAAAAAACGACACAUAAUAGGGAACAGAGGGAGUAACUCAUUUUCUAGCAUAUAACUUUCUCAAAUAAGAUCUACGAGAUGUUCCCUGUAACCAUUGACAGUUCCAGGCGAGACAAUUCAUGGCGAUUGGUUAGGCUACACCACAGCCACCACCAUUGGAGUAUUUGCGACAUAAAAAUAAAAACUAUGAUCUAAUAAGCCAUUAUCAGUAAUAAAUAUAGAGAAACACCUUCAUCAAGAGAGAAGAGAAGCCUCUCAUAAAGAGAGAAAAAAAAACACCUCUAAUUUGUUAAAAUUUAAAGAUGUUUCUUUUUUUUUUUUGAAUUUUUUACCAAACAAGUUAUUAAAUAAUUUAUAAGAUGUUUUGAAGAGCUUAUAAGUAUAGCUACACACCCUCUUACUAUUGUUAAAAAAAUCGGGAUACACCUUCCGUUUAACUAGCACCUCGUUAGAUCCGACUAAUUAAACUAUAAUAAAUAAUUCGUUUGUAAUUUGAUUUAAUUUGAUUUGUUGAAUUUGAUAAUGAUUUUAUUUUAUUUUUAGAUUUAUGAUAUAAAAAGAAAACACGUUAGUGUAUCAAUAUCCAUUGGUGUCUUAAACGUAGAGACCCACCAUAUUUAUACAUGUUGGACUUGAUAAUAAAUUGGUCAAAUAAGUUAGGCAAAGGCAUUAAAGGAAUAUUCUAAACAAAUAAGUGAUCAACGUUUUGCCACUAACACUCUUGAAUUGUGUGGCAUUUAAGCCCUUCCUCUUUUUUUCCCACUGGUUUCUCCAUUCAACUUAAUAAAUAACCUAGUUGCUCUGUUCAACUUAAUAAAUAAAUAAAGGAUUUUUUGUUUGAUACGAGAAAAAGACUCCAUUUGUUGUAUUUGAAGACUCUAACUAAAGUAAUCGGACUAUAUAUUUAUUAUAGAUUAAUCAAAAAAAAAAAAAAACAUUUAUUUUAUUUAUUAUUUUUCAUGGUUGAAAUAUUUAUUUUGGUUGUUUUUAAUAUUUAUUUGUGUUAUAAAAAAAUAGAAAAUAAAAUAUUUUAAUAUUUAUUAGAAUUUAAAAUAAUAUGCAGAUAAAAAAAUAAUUGUGGAAAAUAUCAUACAUAAACAUUAAGCUAUAAUCAAUACUAUAGUAUUACAAAUUCACAAGUCAAUAUAUAAAAUAAUUUUAUAGCUCUCUACUCUAUUGGAUAUGCUCUUGCAAAGUUUAUUCACAUUAAAAACUUGGUUAAAUUACAACCAACCCCUGGGGUAUGGUCAAAUUAUGAAAAAAUCCCUCAUGUUUGGAUAAUUACAACUACCUCUCAACUAUAAAUCUUCUUACAUGUCCACCUUUAUGGUUUUAAAAUCAACAUAAUCUUCUAGAUUAUAUGGAAUAUUCUCUAAUUUGUACUCGUUUUGCCCAAAAAUGUAGUUUCUGAUGCACCACAAUCUGAUAUAUAAAAACAAAAACCACAUCUUAUGAUCAUCUUGUUUCAAACUGUGGAGCUCUUAUGAAAUAAAACAGGUACAUAAUUGAGAAUAUUCCAUAAAAUCUAAAAAAUUCAACACAAACAUGAGGGGUUUUUCGUAAUUUGACCAUAUAGGGGUGGUUGUAAUUUACCUUAAAAACUUCAAAUAUUAUAAAUAAUAGUGGAGUCAAAUUGAAUAAAUUUCAAAAUAAAGCCUCCGUGCAAAAUAUAAUAAUAAAUAUAAAUAUAGGAGAUAGUGAUAUUUAGAAGAAUAAAAAGCAAACCCAAACUUGAAAGCAACCACCAAACCAAACAGAUGAUUUGUCAGUCAAAACAAAGUUAAUAUCACUGAUAUAUGAUGAAACUCAAAAAACUCGAGUAGUAUAAUUCUUCAGUAUAUACCUUCAAUUGUAAUCUUCUCUCUCUCUCUUCUUUCUCUCUCUAAUUCCGCCGCCGCCGCCGACGGAAAAAAUGGGUUUAAUCCGGCGGAGCCGUUUGGUUUUCGCCGUCUUCGCCUAUCUUCUAGUUUCCUCCGCCGUCUCUCACUCGUUCCCCUUCCCUAAAAAGGAAAAGCACAAAAUCGAAGGCCCAAUCAAAACCCUAGUAGUUCUCGUUAUGGAGAAUCGCUCCUUCGAUCACAUCCUAGGCUGGAUGAAGCGCACCCGACCCGACAUCGACGGCCUCACCGGAUCCGAAUUCAACCGGGUCAACGCGUCCGACCCGAAUUCCCGACCCGUUUAUGUCUCCGACGAGGCUUUCUUCAUCGAUUCCGACCCGGGCCACUCCAUCCAAGCCAUAAGGGAGCAGAUAUUCGGCGGCGCCGACACCUCCGCAAACCCUGCCCCGAUGAACGGGUUCGUGCAGCAGGCCGAGAGCAUGGAGGCCGACGGAAUGUCGAAAACCGUCAUGAGCGGGUUCAAACCGGAGUUGGUGCCGGUUUACACCGAGUUGGCAAACGAGUUCGCCGUUAUGGACCGGUGGUUCGCGUCGGUUCCCGCUUCGACUCAGCCGAACCGGUUCUACGUUCACUCCGCCACCUCGCACGGCGCCUCCAGCAACGUGAGGAAAGACCUGAUCAACGGGUUCCCACAGAAGACGAUUUUCGACUCAAUUGACGAAAAUGACCUCAGUUUCGGGAUAUAUUACCAGAAUAUCCCCGCCACUCUGUUCUUCAAGAGCCUUAGGAAGCUCAAGCACAUCAUCAAAUUCCACGACUACGCGCUG